AGGGCCACUAGAGGAUUACACAUAUGACUGCUGUGUCACAUGUGUCAGUAGGUGGCAAAGGUAGACAGGCUAUGUCUAUGCUCAGUGUUCUGAAUUGCCAACAUCUGAAUGAUUAAUAGUGUGAUAUU